rnacentral:rRNA from 1 species
UUGGGCAUUGAGUUGCGCUGAAUAGACCCCGAAGCGAAGUGAUCUACCCAUGGCCAAGGCGAAUCCGCCGUAACAGGCGGAGGAGGCCUGAACUGAUGUUAGUUGCAAAUGGCUCGGAUGAGCUGUGGGUAGGGGUGAAAAGGCUAAUCAAAACUUCGUGAUUGCUGGUUCUCCCCGAAAUAACUAGAGGGUUAGCCUCGUUUCAGCCGUGACGGAGGUAGAGCACUGAAUGAGCUAGGGGCGUUCCAACGCUACCGAACUCAAUCAAAACUCCGAAUGCCGUUACUGGACGAACGGGAGUUAGACUACGAGUGCUAAGAUCCGUGGUCAAAAGGGAAAUAGCCCAGACCGUCAGCUAAGGUCCCUAAUCGUGAGCUAAGUGGAAAAGGUUGUAAGAUCGCUCAGACAGCCAGGAGGUUGGCUUAGAAGCAGCCAUCCUUUAAAGAGUGCGUAAUAGCUCACUGGUCGAGCGAUUUUGCGCCGAAAAUGUAACGGGGCUCAAGUUCACAACCGAAG